CAACAUUCAAUUCCGAGUUCUAUCCUUGAAGAUACAUUGAAAACAUAUUUUUAUUAAAAUUGAAAAGAUUAUAAAAGUAUUUCUGGCAGCCCUGUCUACGUCAUUCUGUUGCAUUAGCGAACUGCGUUUCUUGGUAGCCAUCUGAAAAUCGCACGAAAAUGUCCGCCUGGAGAGCAGCUGGUUUAAACUACAUAAACUAUUCUAACAUUGCCGCUCGUCUGGUCCGUCAGGCUUUGAAGUCGGAACACAGAGCUCAAGCUGCGCGGCGCGAUGAUUCGCAUAUCAAAUUCACCAAAUGGAUCAAUGGAAAGCCGGAAAAACUGGCCGCUGAAAAUUAGGGCCUCAUUCUCACAGUCACAUCACCGGCUCUGUGUAGAUUCUAUGAGAAUAAAAAAAUAAGUUCAUAAUCAUAAUUAUUCGUAUGGAAAAAAGGGGUACAGGAAUUGUCCUCGCUUGUCCAUGGUGGGGGAGCCAAAAAUGAAGAUUAACUGUAAAGUUUGACAUGAUGUACGAUUAAAUCGUUUUAAAUAUUCUAUGUGUAAAACCCUUUAUACAAUAAAAGUGUGCACUC